AUUGAACGCUGGCGGCAGGCUUAACACAUGCAAGUCGAGCGGAGAGAGGUAGCUUGCUACUGAUCUUAGCGGCGGACGGGUGAGUAAUGCUUAGGAAUCUGCCUAUUAGUGGGGGACAACAUUUCGAAAGGAAUGCUAAUACCGCAUACGUCCUACGGGAGGAAGCAGGGGAUCUUCGGACCUUGCGCUAAUAGAUGAGCCUAAGUCGGAUUAGCUAGUUGGUGGGGUAAAGGCCUACCAAGGCGACGAUCUGUAGCGGGUCUGAGGGGAUGAACGGCCACACGGGGACUGAGACACGGCCCAGACUCCUACGGGAGGCAGCAGUGGGGAAUAUUGGACAAUGGGCGCAAGCCUGAUCCAGCCAUGCCGCGUGUGUGAAGAAGGCCUUAUGGUUGUAAAGCACUUUAAGCGAGGAGGAGGCUACUUUAGUUAAUACCUAGAGAUAGUGGACGUUACUCGCAGAAUAAGCACCGGCUAACUCUGUGCCAGCCGCCGCUGUAA
rnacentral:rRNA from 1 species